rnacentral:rRNA from 1 species
UAGUUUAACGGCCGCGGUACCCUAACCGCGCGAAGGUAGCAUAAUCACUUGUUCUUUAAAUGAGGACUCGUAUCAAUGGCACCACGAGGACUUUACUGUCUCCUUUUUCUAAUCAGUGAAACUAAUCUUCCCGUGAAGAAGCGGGAAUAAAUAGAUAAGACGAGAAGACCCCAUGGAGCUUUAAGCUUACUGCACCUCUAUUUUCUAUAACCUCUUAUUAAACGGAAUACUGCUUACUUAGCUUUAGGUUGGGGUGACCGCGGAGUAUAACAUAACCUCCAUGAUGAACAAAACUAUUUUCUUAUCUAAGAACAACAGUUCUAAGAAUUAGUAUUCUAACAUAAAAUGAUCCGAUAAUCGAUCAACGGACUAAGUUACCCUGGGGAUAACAGCGCAAUCCAUUUCAAGAGCCCCUAUCGACAAAUGGGUUUACGACCUCGAUGUUGGAUCAGGAUAUCCUAGUGGUGCAGCAGCUACUGAAGGUUCGUUUGUUCAACGAUUAAAAUCCU